rnacentral:tRNA from 1 species
GCGUUCGUAGCUCAGCUGGAUAGAGUACCUGGCUACGAACCAGGCGGUCAGAGGUUCGAAUCCUCUCGGACGCGCCA